UCGCCCCUGCCGUGCGCGUGAUUGGAAGAUGUUCUUUUGACCCAACAUUGCAUUGAACGGGUGCCUUUUCAGGGCUUCGGUGAGCAUGUUCCGGAUACCCGGAAAAGCCUAAAGAGGCCACAAGGCGCCCAGUGUGGACCAAUCGGUUCAAAAAGUCGUCCAACACGGCAACGCGCGGGGGCAAU
rnacentral:other from 2 species